ACGCUCGACACCUACAGGAGGCAGCAGUGGGGAAUAUUGCACAAUGGGGGAAACCCUGAUGCAGCGACGCCGCGUGGAGGAAGAAGGUCUUCGGAUUGUAAACUCCUGUUGUUGGGGAAAAAGAGGAUGGUACCCAACAAGGAAGUGACGGCUAACUACGUGCCAGCAGCUGCGGUAAUCUGAGCGGGCUGGCAAGGC
rnacentral:rRNA from 1 species